AGCGGUGGAGCAUGUGGUUUAAUUCGAAGCUACGCGAAGAACCUUACCAGGUCUUGACAUCUUCUGCCAAUCUUAGAGAUAAGACGUUCCCUUCGGGGACAGAAUGACAGGUGGUGCAUGGUUGUCGUCAGCUCGUGUCGUGAGAUGUUGGGUUAAGUCCCGCAACGAGCGCAACCCUUAUUAUCAGUUGCCAGCAUUCAGUUGGGCACUCUGGUGAGACUGCCGGUGACAAACCGGAGGAAGGUGGGGAUGACGUCAAAUCAUCAUGCCCCUUAUGACCUGGGCUACACACGUGCUACAAUGGACGGUACAACGAGUCGCGAAGUCGUGAGGCUAAGCUAAUCUCUUAAAGCCGUUCUCAGUUCGGAUUGUAGGCUGCAACUCGCCUACAUGAAGUUGGAAUCGCUAGUAAUCGCGGAUCAGCAUGCCGCGGUGAAUACGUUCCCGGGCCUUGUACACACCGCCCGUCACACCAUGAGA
rnacentral:rRNA from 2 species